rnacentral:rRNA from 1 species
AUUGAACGCUGGCGGCAGGCUUAACACAUGCAAGUCGAGCGAGCGGCGGACGGGUGAGUAAUGUCUGGGAAACUGCCUGGUGGAGGGGGAUAACUACUGGAAAAGGUAGCUAAUACCGCAUACCAUUGGAGCGGCCAAGAGUGGAUGAGCUAGUAGGUGGGGUAAUGGCUCACCUAGGCGACGAUCCGUAGCUGGUCUGAGAGGAGGACCAGCCACACUGGAACUGAGACACGGCCCAGACUCCUACGGGAGGCAGCAGUGGGGAAUAUUGCACAAUGGGCGAAAGCCUGAUGCAGCCAUGCCGCGUGUGUGAAGAAGUCCUUCGGGUUGUAAAGCACUUUCAGCGAGGAGGCGUUACCCGCAGAAGAAGCACCGGCUAACUCCGUGCCAGCAGCCGCGGUAAUUC